ACCCUAAUGAAGCAGUACCAGGCAGCCAAUGAUAUUCCAAAUCAUUAACUGAUCAGAAAGCACAAGGAUUCCCAAUCUCAGCCCAAGACCGUGGAAUCUCACUGUAUCUGUACCGAUCCUGUAGACGAUUUGAUCCGAGUACGUGGUCUUGCUGAGGAUUGGAGGACAACAACUAACUGGAUGUCUUCAUCAUAUAGAUGGCAAAGUGCGGCGUCAACCAACAGUAGUCCACAUAUCUUUUCAAAAGUUUUAUGCAAGCUUGCUAGCGCACCUCUUUUCGAAUGUUUUCUACCUCGUCACGUGUUGAAAAAAUAUCUCG